rnacentral:lncRNA from 1 species
GCACAGUAUUUUCAAACAAAGUGUUAUCACGUGGUUUAAAACAGUUUAAAGUCACUGUAAGUCAUUCAACAACACAUGCAGUAUAGUCAACUUUGAAAUGUCCCAACACUGCAAAAUGACAUUAUCAUAUAAAAUGCACCGACACGGCAAAAUGUCAAAAUGAUUCAUUAUCAAUCAAUCAACGAAAAACAUAUAUAAAAACAACAAUCAACGACAACCAAUUAAUAACAGAUGUCUUUCUAUGUACAGGCAUGAUUUACGAAGUUGACAUAAUAGAUUUGAUUAACCCUGUUCGUUGUCAAAAUGCUAUGUUGAGAUCGUAACUAUAUUAUUAUCAUUUUAACAGAUUAACAUAUUUGGAAUUAAUUUUAAAAGAUUGGUAAAUUUUUUCCAUGCAUGCGAUUUGCUAUAGGAUGGAGACCAAUGAUCUAUAUGCUACAAGACUAAAGUUUCAGAGUUUUUUUUAAAUCAUCAAAGAGAAACAACUCAGACAAAUAUCACACAUCAAUGACAAACAAUCCGGCCACUUAGUGUAGACAGCUUCAA